GGGUUGAAGUUGGGGAGGGGUUGAGAUGGAGGAGGAGUUGAGGUAGAGAGCAGUUGAGAUGGGGAAGUCUUGAGAUGGGGAAGGGUUGAGGUGGGAGGGGUUAGGAUGAGGAAGAGGCUGAGAUGAGGGAGAAGUUGAGGUGGAGGGGGUUGAGAUGGAGAAGGAAUGAGGUGAGGAGGGGUUAAGAUGGGGGAGGAGUUGAGAUGGCGGUGGAAUUGAGAUGGGAGGGGUUGGGACGGGCAGGGGUAGAGAUAGGGAAGGAGUUGAGAUGAGUGAGGUUGAGAUGGGGCAGAGGUUGAGAUGGGUGAGGGUUGAGAUGGGUGUGGUGAGAUGGGUAGAGUUCAGAUGAGGUAGGCUUGAGAUGGGGAGAGGGUGAAAUAGGGAGGCGUUGAGAUGAGUGUGGUUGAGAUGUUGAAGGGUCAAGUUGGGGAGACACUGAGAUGGAGAGGGGUUGAGUUGUGAAGGGGUUGAGAUAGGAAGGGAUUGAGUAAGGAAGGGGUUGAGUUGUGAAGGGGUUGAGAUGGGAAGGGGUAGAGAUGUGAAGAAGCUGAGGUGGGAAGGGGCUGAGAUGGGAAAGGGUUGAGAUGGGAAGGGGUUGAGUUGUGAAGGGGUUGAGAUGGGAAGGGGUUGAGUUGUGAAGGGGUUGAGAUUGACAGGGGUUGAGACGGGAAGGGGCUGAGUUGUGAAGGGGUUGAGAUGGGAAGGGGUUGAGAUGGGAAGGGGUUGAGUUGUGAAGGGGUUGAAUUGUAAAGGGGUAGAGAUGGGAAGGGGUUGAGAUGGGAAGGGGUUGAGUUGGGAAGGGGUUGAGAUGGGAAGGGAUUGAGUUGUGAAGGGGUUAAGUUGUGAAGUGGUUGAGAUGGGAAGGGGUUCUGUUGUUAAGGGGUUGAGUUGUGAAGGGGUUGAGACAGGAAGGGGUUGAGUUUUGAAGGGAAUGAGAUGGGAAGGGGUUGAGUUGUGAUGGGGCCAUGAUGGGAAUGGGGUUGAGUUGUGAAGGGGUUGAGUUGUGAAGUGGCUGAGAUGGGAAGCGGUUGAGAUGGGA
rnacentral:lncRNA from 1 species